AACAGCCGCGGUAAUUCCAGCUCCAAUAGCGUAUAUUAAAGUUGUUGCAGUUAAAAGCCCGUAGUUGAAUUUCGGGGUUAGUAGGUUGGUCAUGCCUCCGGUAUGUACUGGUCUCACUGAUUCCUCCUUCCUUAUGAGCCGUAAUGCCAUUAAUUUGGUGUUGCGGGGAAUUUGGACUGUUACUUUGAAAAAUUAGAGUGUUUAAAGCAAGCUAACGCUUGAAUACAUUAGCAUGGAAUAAUGAAAUAGGACGUUCGAUCUUAUUUGUUGGUUUCUAGGAUUGACGUAAUGAUUAAUAGGGAUAGUUGGGGCAUUAGUAUUCAAUUGUCAGAGGUGAAAUUCUUGGAUUUAUUGAAGACUAACUACUGCGAAAGCAUUUGCCAAGGAUGUUUCAUUAAUCAAGAACGAAAGUUAGGGAGUACGAAGACGAUACAGAUACCGUCGUAGUCUUAACCAUAAACUAU
rnacentral:rRNA from 1 species